AGCGAACGCUGGCGGCAGGCUUAACACAUGCAAGUCGAGCGGGCACUUCGGUGUCAGCGGCAGACGGGUGAGUAACACGUUGGAACGUACCCUUUGGUUCGGCAUAACGCUGGGAAACUCGCGCUAAUACCGGAUACGCUCUUUUGUGGAAAGGCUUGCUGCCGAAGGAUCGGCCCGCGUCUGAUUAGAUGGUUGUUGGGGUAAUGGCCUAUCACUGCUACGAUCAGUAGCUGGUCUGUGAGGCAGAUCAGAGACACUGGUACUAAGACACGGUCGAGAAUAUUACGGGAGGCAGGAGUGGGGGAUAUAGGAAAAUGGGGGGAGGGAUGAAGCAGCUAGGACGGGUGAGUGAUGAAGGCCUGAGGGUAGUAAAGCAAGUUUGUACGGGACGAUAAUGACGGUACCGGAAGAAUAAGCACCGGCUAACUUCGUG
rnacentral:rRNA from 1 species